GAAGAAACUUUGAACAUUUUAGGACACCUAGAAAUGGCUUUCAACCUAGAAAUAACUAUUCUAGAAAUGCUGCAUAUCCUAGAACAAAUAGUAGGAGAAUUGAUUUUCAUGAAAUGCGCAAUAGUUAUAUUGUCGAAAAUAGAGUAAACAAUUUCCGUCCGUCCAACUACUAUCAACCUAGACGAAUGCAUAAUCCUAAUGUCAUUUCUCAUUAUUGCAAUCGAAUUGGACAUAUUGCUCCUGCUUGCUUCACUAGACAUAGACACUUAACUGCAUGUCAAGCACAACAACAUGUUACACCAAACUCUCAAGGACCCAAAACAGCUUGGGUACCAAAGACUCAUUAACUUGUCUUGU
rnacentral:lncRNA from 1 species